GACGGAGGAUGCAAGUGUUAUCCGGAAUCACUGGGCGUAAAGCGUCUGUAGGUGGUUCGAAAAGUCCACUGUUAAAAAUUGAGGCUUAACUUCAAAGAUGCCGUGGAAACUUUCAAACUAGAGUAUGGUAGGGGUAGAGGGAAUUUCCAGUGGAGCGGUGAAAUGCGUAGAUAUUGGAAAGACCACCGAUGCGAAGGCGACUCUACUGGGCCAUUACUGACACUGAGAGACGAAAGCUAGGGGAGCAAAUGGG
rnacentral:rRNA from 1 species